CCUACGGGAGGCAGCAGUGAGGAAUAUUGGUCAAUGGUCGGGAGACUGAACCAGCCAAGCCGCGUGAGGGAUGAAGGUACAGAGUAUCGUAAACCUCUUUUGUCAGGGAACAAAGGCGGGGACGUGUCCCCGGAUGAGUGUACCUGAAGAAAAAGCAUCGGCUAACUCCGUGCCAGCAGCCGCGGUAAUACGGAGGAUGCGAGCGUUAUCCGGAUUUAGUGGGUUUAAAGGGUGCGCAGGCGGGCUGUUAAGUCAGCGGUCAAAGCCCGGGGCUCAACCCCGGGCCGCCGUUGAAACUGGCAGUCUCGAGUUGGAGAGAAGUAUGCGGAAUGCGCGGUGUAGCGGUGAAAUGCAUAGAUAUCGCGCAGAACUCCGAUUGCGAAGGCAGCAUGCCGGCUCCACACUGACGCUGAGGCACGAAAGCGUGGGUAUCGAACAGGAUUAGAUACCCCUGUAGUC
rnacentral:rRNA from 1 species